AACGUAGGAGACAAACGUUAUCCGGAGUUACUGGGCGUAAAGGGCGUGCAGGUGGUCUGUUAAGUCUGGCGUGAAAGCUCCCGGCUAAACCGGGAGAGGUCGUUGGAUACUGGCGGACUAGAGGACGGUAGAGGCGUGUGGAAUUCCGGGUGUAGUGGUGAAAUGCGUAGAGAUCCGGAGGAACACCAGUGGCGAAGGCGACACGCUGGGCCGUACCUGACACUGAUACGCGACAGCAUGGGGAGCGAACGGG
rnacentral:rRNA from 1 species